AUUGAACGCUGGCGGCAGGCCUAACACAUGCAAGUCGAACGGUAACAGGAAACAGCUUGCUGUUUCGCUGACGAGUGGCGGACGGGUGAGUAAUGUCUGGGAAACUGCCUGAUGGAGGGGGAUAACUACUGGAGACGGUAGCUAAUACCGCAUAACGUCGCAAGCCCAAAGAGGGGGACCUUCGGGCCUCUUGCCAUCGGAUGUGCCCAGAUGGGAUUCGCUAGUAGGUGGGGUAACGGCUCACCUAGGCGACGAUCCCUAGCUGGUCUGAGAGGAUGACCAGCCACACUGGAACUGAGACACGGUCCAGACUCCUACGGGAGGCAGCAGUGGGGAAUAUUGCACAAUGGGCGCAAGCCUGAUGCAGCCAUGCCGCGUGUAUGAAGAAGGCCUUCGGGUUGUAAAGUACUUUCAGCGGGGAUGAAGGGAGUAAAGUUAAUACCUUUGCUCAUUGACGUUACCCGCAGAAGAAGCACCGGCUAACUCCGUG
rnacentral:rRNA from 1 species